rnacentral:siRNA from 1 species
GUGUAAGUAGAACUAUUAGAUGC